CCUACGGGUGGCUGCAGUGGGGAAUAUUGGACAAUGGGGGGAACCCUGAUCCAGCCAUGCCGCGUGUGUGAAGAAGGCCCUCGGGUUGUAAAGCACUUUCAGUGAGGAAGAACGCCUGGUGGUUAAUACCCAUCAGGAAAGACAUCACUCACAGAAGAAGCACCGGCUAACUCCGUGCCAGCAGCCGCGGUAAUACGGAGGGUGCGAGCGUUAAUCGGAAUUACUGGGCGUAAAGCGCGCGUAGGUGGCUUGAUAAGCCGGUUGUGAAAGCCCCGGGCUCAACCUGGGAACGGCAUCCGGAACUGUCAAGCUAGAGUGCAGGAGAGGAAGGUAGAAUUCCCGGUGUAGCGGUGAAAUGCGUAGAGAUCGGGAGGAAUACCAGUGGCGAAGGCGGCCUUCUGGACUGACACUGACACUGAGGUGCGAAAGCGUGGGUAGCAAACAGGAUUAGAUACCCGUGUAG
rnacentral:rRNA from 1 species